rnacentral:rRNA from 1 species
GACGUAGGGCGCGAGCGUUGUCCGGAUUUAUUGGGCGUAAAGAGCUCGUAGGCGGUUUGUCGCGUCGUUCGUGAAGACUCACAGCUUAACUGUGAGCUUGCGGUCGAUACGGGCAGGCUAGAGUUCGGUAGGGGAGACUGGAAUUCCUGGUGUAGCGGUGAAAUGCGCAGAUAUCAGGAGGAACACCGGUGGCGAAGGCGGGUCUCUGGGCCGAUACUGACGCUGAGGUGCGAAAGCGUGGGGAGCAAACAGG